AUUGAACGCUGGCGGCAGGCCUAACACAUGCAAGUCGAACGAGCGGCGGACGGGUGAGUAAUGUAUGGGAAUCUGCCUGAUGGAGGGGGAUAACUACUGGAAACGGUAGCUAAUACCGCAUACCAUCAGAUGUGCCCAGAUGGGAUUAGCUAGUUGGUGGGGUAACGGCUCACCUAGGCGACGAUCCCUAGCUGGUCUGAGAGGAUGACCCGUCACCAGGGAACUUGGACACGGUCCAGACUCCUACGGGAGGCAGCAGUGGGGAAUAUUGCACAAGGGGCGCAAGCCUGAUGCAGCCAUGCCGCGUGUAUGAAGAAGGCCUUCGGGUUGUAAAGUACUUUCAGCGGGGAGGCGUUACCCGCAGAAUAAGCACCGGCUAACUCCGUGCCAGCAGCCGCGGUAAUUC
rnacentral:rRNA from 1 species